rnacentral:lncRNA from 1 species
AGACAGGUCUAAGCUACCUCUUUGCACCUGGGAACUCUGUGCCUUUUGAGAGUUGAAGGCUUAAAACAACAACAACCACCACAACAAAACUAUUCACCUUUUUAUCCAAUAGAAACUAAGGCUGUAAAGGAUGAUGCCCGGCAUCUGCUCAGCUUCUGAUGAGGCCUCAGGAAGCUUCCAAUCAUGGCAGAAGGCAAAGGGGAACCCAUGUAUCACAUAGCAAGAGCAGGAGCAAGAGAGGCGCGGGGAGAGGUUUUAAACCACGUCUUGCAAGAACUCACUAUUGCGAGGACAGUACCUUGGGGAUGGUGCUAAAUCAUUCAUGAGAAAUCUGCCCCCAUGAUCUAAUCACCUCCCACCAGGCCCCAACUCCGACACUGGAGAUUACAUUUCAACAUGAGAUUUGGGUGGGGACAAAUAUCCAGACUAUAUCGGGGCUGUACCAGCAAUUGACUCCUGACAUCUGUUCUGACUGGUCAGAGUCUGUUCUGAUAGGUUGGUGCCUCUACUGAUUAUUAAAUAUUUUAUGCUAUACCAAUUAUUAAAUAUUUUGAAAACCACCUACUGUUACAUGGGCUAUCAUAUUGCCUAGAAUAUUUGGUGAUGGUUUCAUAAAUGGAAAGCAAUUGAU